rnacentral:rRNA from 1 species
GGGUCAGUAGGUUGGUCGUGCCACCGGUACGUACUGGUCUCACUGAUUUCUCCUUCCUGAAGAACCGUAAUACCAUUAAUUUGGUGUUGCGGGGAAACAGGACUGUUACUUUGAAAAAAUUAGAGUGUUUAAAGCAAGCUAACGCUUGAAUACAUUAGCAUGGAAUAAUGAAAUAGGACGAUCGAUCCUAUUUUGUUGGUUUCUAGGAUUGACGUA